rnacentral:lncRNA from 1 species
AUGAAAGACUCUAAGAGAUCAGCCGAGAGACAGGCACCAGCCUUUGCACCUGAUGCCAGCAGUGUGGCCGGAAGCAUAAACUGGGGAAAGCAGAGUGUGAGGCACGUACUGGCAAGAUGCUCCUGGGGAACCGCUAAGAAGCCAAGGAUUCAAGAGAAGCAACAGGUUCUGAGUACCAAGCGUUGGCCUAGAGCAGAGGCCCCCCAACGUAUGGCCAUGGUCAUCUGUCUACCGCCUGAUUUGUGUAAGGCCUGCCAGCAAAGAAUGAAUUUUACAUUUUUAAAUGAUUGGGGAGAAAAAUCAAAAGAAGAAGAAUAUUUCAUGACAUGUGAAAAUUAAAUAACAUUCACAUUUUAGUGUCCGUAAAUCAUGUUUUAUUGAAAAAUAGGCAUGCCAUUUGUUUAAGUAUAGACUAUGGCUGUGUGACAAAAGCAGAGUUAAGUCAUUUCAAUGGUAGGGCAGGACAAAUGUCUCUUUGACUCUCUUAGGGUCCCUGACUAGGUCUGAAAAUUAAACUGACCUUUGUCAGGAUUAACAGAUUAAUAGGAGAAGAGCCUACAAGGUUCAUUGAAUUUUUACAUGGGAAAUUUCAUAAGAGAAUGAAGACCAGAACUGACCAGAGUGGGAAGCCUUUAUAACUUUGAGGCAAAUGGUAAAUUUGUGAAGAAUUGACAAGAUAAAGAUAUUUGGGAUGGAAGAUGGUAGAUAGGAAAGAAGUAAUUCGGAAGAUAAGAGUUAGUUUAACAAAGUUUGUUCAUGCAGACCUCUUGGCCUUAAGUUCCCUGCCCUCUGGUGAUAAGAAUGUCUUGGUCGGGGCAUCUGGGUGGCUCAGUCAGUGGAGGCUGGACUCUUGAUUUGGGCUCGGAUCAUGACCUUGGGGUCAUGAAAUUAAGCCCAACUCUACUCUGCACUCGGAUAGAAGUCUGCUUGAAAUUCUCUCUCCCUCUGCCCCUGCCCCUGCUCCCUCUCCCUCUCUCUCCAAUAAAUACAUAUUAAGGAAAAAAAAAAAAAAAAAA